GAAAAAGAGACUUCAAAGUGUUGGUAUAUGCACAAUAUUCUGUUGGGGAGACAAGGAAUCUUAAGGGUUUUGGCUCAAACAGAUCAGAAUGACAAGGAUUUGGAUCGGAUGAGUGAGAGGCAGGAUCUUGAAGGAAAGGAGCUAAAGCAAGAAACUACUUUGCAUGACCUGGAGCUGGUUUCUUUAGUUCACAGUCAUGUCAAUGCUGCAGAGCAAUAUGAUUUUGAGUAAGGCUAGAUUUUGAUGACCAUUUUGUAGAUGUAGUGAUAUCAGGAUGAAUUGUGCACAAAUUAUACUGCAUGUAGUUAUUGCAGUAGUGGUAUCUUCUAGACUAGCCUUAAAGUAGGUUAGGGUUUAUUGUGCAAAACUUUUGAAGCUUCCUCAAGCUCUAAUUUUGGAUAGAAAUUAAUGCAA